rnacentral:ncRNA from 2 species
GUGUAAUAUGAUUGCUUGGGUGCGCUUAUUCCAGAUCUGGGAUGGCGUUAAACGGGAAACCGGUGACUCCGCCAAAAGCGGCCAUUCCGGUGCAGCCCCCGCUGCUGUAAGCCUGACGAAUCCUCCAACAUGCCACUGCAGUUCAGCGGGAAGGCGGGGAAACGGAUGACGGCGAGCCAGAAUACCGGCCCUGAUUUGUCAGCACCA